rnacentral:rRNA from 1 species
UGGGGAUGACGUCAAGUCAUCAUGGCCCUUACGGCCUGGGCUACACACGUGCUACAAUGGUCGGUACAAAGGGUUGCCAAGCCGCGAGGUGGAGACUAAUCCCAUAAACCGAUCGUAGUCCGGAUCGCAGUCUGCAACUCGACUGCGUGAAGUCGGAAUCGCUAGUAAUCGUGAAUCAGAAUGUCACGGUGAAUACGUUCCCGGGCCUU